UCAGCUGAACCAGCAAGUUGCUUGAGCUCCAGUGGCAAGAAGUUUCUUUCAAAAACAUACCUGGAAUACCGGAUUCGAAUCUAAGGGGGAACAACACUUGACCAGUGCACAUACCUCUACGCAUGAGCCAAAUUAGUCAUCCACCUUUGGUGGGUCGGAAACCUGCGGAAAAAAAAUAAAAAAUUCAGCUGCCACUAAAUUUCAUUUAUAGAUGUUUCAGACACACUAAAUUUCCCUCAUUCACACUAAAUUCAAACACGUUUCAGGCACAUACAUAACUCAAAUUUUGAAGAUCCGAUGCUUGUUGAGGAGGAUGAUGAUUUCAACAUUAUCUUUUGUUUGGUCAUUCAUCAGCCAUAUAUAUUUACGUUGACCGUGAUUUCCUUGAUUAAUCGGACUCUUGAAUAUGGAGAGGGACAGAACCAAGGACUAAAGAUUUCUCUAAGGCCAUUUACACAAUUGAUAUUGCACAAAAUGAUAUUGGCUUUGGUCUGCAGAAGUCUUCAGAGGAACAAGUUAGAAGGUCAAUUCCUGACAUCUUGAGCCAAUUCUCCCAAGCAGUGCAGGUAAUUAGCAACCACCAAAGAAAUUAAGCCUUGUUGAUGCAUUAUUAUCAAGUUUGGCAAUUGGUUUGAUUACGGUUACAUUGCAGUAUGAUUGCACCAAGUUGAACAUCUAUUGGUUUAAUCAAUUUUUUAAUUUUUUUUUUCCUUUUGUAAUACUUGUCAUCUGGUUCAAUCGUGGUUUAGCCAAUAAAACCAACACUCGGAAGUAUAACAGGUACAAUCUCCAAUCCAAUUAUUAUAUAGCAAUUUGGUUUUAGAACAGAACUAAUACUUGUCAUUACUCUGUUUUAGAUUCACAACGAACGGGCAAGAGUGUUUUCGAUUCACAAUACAGGUCCUAUUGGAUGCUUACCCUAUGAUAACAUCUAUUAUCCACACAAGAAGGGGAACUUGGAUGCCAAUGGUUGUUUUAAACCUCACAACGAGCUUGCUCAGGAAUAGAACAGGCAGCUAAAAGACAAGCGUUUCAGCUAAGGAGAAAGUUUCCAUUAGCCAAAUUUACAUAUGUUGAUGUUUACACAGUAAAAUAGAAACUUAUCAGCAACGCAAGGAGCCAGGGUCUUGUGAAUCCAUUGGAAUUUUGCUGUGGAAGUUACUAUGGUUACCACAUAAAUUGCUUGUUGAGGAGGAUGAUUUCAACAAUAUCCUUUGUUUGCUUGUUCAUCAGUCAUAUAUAUUUACAACGACUGUGAUUUCCUUGAUUAAUUGGUUUAAUGGAUAUGAAGGUUAGAACGUUUUUAUCUUAAUAAUUGUUCCAUAAUUUUUUUAGCAACAUAGAAUCACACGUUUUGUUGAAUAGAUAACACUUUGUUGUCAGCAUCGUGCUUUUUUUUUCCUAUUCAUUUUUCAUCAUUGCAACAAUUCUGACGAAUGGGCUCCAAUUCUGACCGUUCUUUACAAUUUUAGUCUUGGUUUGGUUUUUCCUCUCUAUUUGUUUGAUUUUAUUUUUGUUUCAAUUGAUUUUGCCAAUUCUGUCUUUAUUCCUGAUUCGUUAUUUUUUCUAUUCUGACUUCAUGUCGCUGAAAUAUUCAUUUCAUUUUUUUGUUGAUUCAUAUUUUAGAUUUCGUUUAAAUGAGAUUUUUUCUUCUUCUUCUGUGUUCGUAUUCUUUUGCACGCACAGAUAAAUAUUUUAGACAACUAUGAGCAAAAACUUCAUGCAAGACACACGUGUAGAGCAUUCAAACUUCCGCAACGUACCAAAUCUCGUUGGUCAAGGAUACUUUAAAAGGAAAGGAAGCAGAGGGAUUUUCCACUUGCUUUAUGGCGCUCAGUUUGAUAUCAGCAGCAAACAUCUGGGAGCAGCAAACAUUCGGUUACCUGACCCUAUAGUUUCAUAUCAAAUUAUCCAUUGAUCGCACAGUUUCUAGGAUAACUUGUUUGAUUAAAAUCUUCAAAUCAUUCUUUGAGAGUUUUGGCAUAAACACAUUUGAAGCAAUGACCUUCUCAGUGGUGGUCUUCUGCCUGGACAAGAUUUUUGGACGUUAUUAUCUCUCGAUCAGAACGGAGUUAACAACAUGACAGAGACUUCAUUAUCAUUGCAUUUGGGCAGUCGUAUUUUCAACCUUUGCAGCCUAACAUACAGCACCAUUUUUUUACAUCGUCUUCUCCAUUCCAGCGCGAGCAUUGCCUUUGAAUGAUUGUUUGCACUUUGAACAAUUCUGCAAGAUCUUGGAUCUUGAUAUCAAACAGUAUUAUUUGUACACUCACUUAAGUAUUAAAAAUAGUUUCACAUUACCGUAAAUA